GAUCCUGGCUUAGGAUGAACGCUAGCUACAGGCUUAACACAUGCAAGUCGAGGGGCAGCAUUGGGAUAGCUUGCUAUUCAGAUGGCGACCGGCGCACGGGUGAGUAACGCGUAUCCAACCUUCCUGCCAGUAGGGAACAGCCCGGCGAAAGUCGGAUUAAUGCCCUAUGUUCUUCAAUGCGGACAUCUAAGUUGAAGGAAAGAUUCAUCGCUGGCAGAUGGGGAUGCGUCCGAUUAGCUUGCCGGCGGGGUAACGGCCCACCGGGGCGACGAUCGGUAGGGGUUCUGAGAGGAAGGUCCCCCACACUGGUACUGAGACACGGACCAGACUCCUACGGGAGGCAGCAGUGAGGAAUAUUGGUCAAUGGGCGUAAGCCUGAACCAGCCAAGUAGCGUGCAGGAAUGACGGCCCUACGGGUUGUAAACUGCUUUUAUGGCGGGGAUAAAGUGCGGCACGUGUGCCGCUUUCGCACCGGUACCGCAUCGUAAGUAAGGACCGGCUAAUUCGGUGCCAGCAGCCGC
rnacentral:rRNA from 1 species